CUACGGGGGGCUCCAGUGAGGAAUAUUGCACAAUGGGGGGAACCCUGAUGCAGCAACGCCGUGUGGAGGAUGACGCAUUUCGGUGUGUAAACUCCUUUUAUAUGUCAAGAAAAUGACGGUAGCAUAUGAAUAAGCACCGGCUAACUCCGUGCCAGCAGCCGCGGUAAUACGGAGGGUGCAAGCGUUACUCGGAAUCACUGGGCGUAAAGGGCGCGUAGGCGGGUUGGAAAGUCAGGUGUGAAAUCCUACAGCUUAACUGUAGAACUGCACUUGAAACUUCUAAUCUAGAGUAUGGGAGGGGGAGAUGGAAUUAGUGGUGUAGGGGUAAAAUCCGUAGAUAUCACUAGGAAUACCUAAAGCGAAGGCGAUCUCCUGGAACAUUACUGACGCUAAGGCGUGAAAGCGUGGGGAGCAAACAGGAUUAGAUACCCCUGUAGUC
rnacentral:rRNA from 1 species